GACGUAGGGCGCGAGCGUUUGUCCGGAUUUAUUGGGCGUAAAGAGCUCGUAGGCGGCUUGUCGCGUCGAAUGUGAAAACUCGGGGCUCAACUCCGAGCUUGCAUUCGAUACGGGCAGGCUAGAGUUCGGUAGGGGGAGACUGGAAUUCCUGGUGUAGCGGUGAAAUGCGCAGAUAUCAGGAGGAACACCGAUGGCGAAGGCAGGUCUCUGGGCCGAUACUGACGCUGAGGAGCGAAAGCGUGGGGGAGCAAACAGG
rnacentral:rRNA from 1 species